GCCCUUACUGUGCACCAGGAGUUCUGUAGUAAGUUUCUGGUGGUGGGUGGCAGCGCUCUGUCCCCACCUGUCCACAUGUACCCCCUAGGAGCAUCCUGCAUACUCCCGGUUGGCAACCCCUGCCCUAGGGUAGACAACUCAGAUAAACUGCUGCAAACAGUUAACCCUCUUGGCUCAAGUCCUGCAAGAAUUAGUGCUGAUGGGUCACCCAUAUCAUACAGAAUCAUCACAUGUCUCUAGCCAAAGGAAAACACUUUGAGAAGGUAUUUGUGAUCAUACUACAAGAAGCUGUAAUUUCAAGACUACACUCAAGACAACUUUCACAAUAAUUCAAAGGUCUGGAAGCUCUGGCACAAUACAAGUCCAACAUGGGAAUUUUAAGGGUUAUUUUGUGAGUAAUUUUGAGUUUGAUUAGGUACUACAAGCAUCAUUUCAUACUACCUUAGUAUAUGGGUCUGGGAAUCAAUUCCUGUAAGUCUGAUUAUGUUGAUCUUGUAGGAAGAGAUUUAAGACUUCUCAUUAAAAAGGUGUGUCAAAAACAUGAUGCAAAUGUUCUUUCCCAGAGCAUGGAGGCAUCUCAAUAGAAAAGUACAGGGAGGGAUUUUCUUCAGGUAGAUUUUUUUUACUUCUGAAAAACAAUUCAAGUUCUAGUCCAAGAAUCACACUAGUUUCUACGUAUUCACAAGAACAUUCCAGCCCUAAAAUGACCCUUUGUAAGUCAAAGUAUAAGCAUCUACUGAAGCAGCAUUUCAGCAGAAGACAAAACAUAAAGCACUGAUUUUAAGUGGUCAGUGUUUUAAAUAUUUUCAGUCAUAGUAAGUGUUUAUUCACAAUUUUCAAAACCAUUUGCAGUUUUCACAAUUAACCCUAGAAACAAGAGACUCCUCUUUUUGGCAUUGUAGGAAGUAAUACUCUUAAGACAUAUAAUAGCUUGGUGACUAGAAAUUUGGCAACAAGCCACAUACCACAGCACCAAAAGACAAAGACAUUUACUUCCUAAGCUAAAGAAAGACCUGUUAAUAUCAAGAAUCUCUCUCAUGUUUUUUUUCCUCCAACCCACAACUAAAAUCUUGUAUGCCAUGCUUGAUUCUUCUCUACUAAUGGGAAUGAUAAGAACCUUAAAUUGACAUUAAAGGAAGCAGGUUUGGUUAGAAAACAAUCCCCAUAAAAAUGGAUUUAAUUACAACUUAUUCAAAAUCUGCAUACUGUAUUUUGAAAUUGGAGAGACUUAACCUACUGAAAUAGAAAAGGAUAUUAUGCAGCCAAUUAUAAGCUAAGGGACAACAAAACAAACAAAUCCAUUUUAAGUGACCUGUAAUUGCAUCUGAAGGCAAAGGUUGAAGACAAGUUGGGACAUAAAGCCCACAUGACAGUUUCCAGAACUGACAUGACAACUUAUAAUGGGGUUAAAAUAAAGAUUUAUUAUGAAAGAUGACUGCAAUCUUAACUCUCACCUUGUAAUACUGGAAUCAAUUGCAACUUAAAUGUACAGGAGCAUAAUGUGAAAAGAUUUUUUUUAUUCGUUAAAAGUUAACAGCAACAGGCACAUAUAAAAUGAGUAUGGCAAAGCCUUUACAAAUGGCUUUACACUGAAGCUCUCCCAAAAAUGGCUGUUGCAACAAACUGUAAACAGAAUUAAUAAACAGUCUUUUACAGUAAUAACAAGGGAAAUACAAAUGAACUAAAAGAAAGCACCAGUUUCUCUCAAACUAGAUAACAGUUGUGCUUACUUUACUUAAAACAAUGUAAAACAAAUUACAAAAAUGGAAUGUUUGAAGUUUAAAAUUAGUCCUUAAAUUUUGUCCUAAAAAACAUUUCUCCUUUUCACAUCAAAAACCCAUAAAUGGUUAAUGUUUCAGUAGAGGGAGGAAUAAGUAAACAAUGCACUUUUUUUUUGUCUUUUUUUUUUCAAUCAAAAACGAAUUUGGUCACUUAGCUUUGUGCAUAGUUUAAGGCAUCUGUAGCAAUUUGUUACAGGUUCCUCCCAAUGUGGCUGUUCAUGAAAUUGUCACAUUCUAAAAGAAUAAAUAAAAAUGUUGCCGUUCAAACCCUUGCCCAUCCCUUCCCUCCCCUCCCUUCCCCCACGCGCACACACACACCCACACAUACACACAUACUGCAGCGAAAGGGGCAUUUGUACCCUUGUUCUGAAGGACACACUUCCCAUCCCAUUUUAUUUCAGAUUGGCAAAUACCCUGAGCUGAUUAUGGUGUUUAGACAUUCCACCUUUUUCUUGCAUGUGCAGUUCAAGUGUACAAUAGUGAAAACAACAUGCAAUGUUUUCACUGCAGAAUCGCAACACAGUUAGGACUGUUCUCCCCCCACCCCCCUCCCCAGAUUCAGAAGUGUUUUCUGCUUUUAAAAAACUGCAUUCCCAUACAGCACUGGAGUAAAGCUUGGCUGUGCUCUAUGAUGAAUGCUCCAUUCCCAGUGCACAAACACAAUUAUGGCAAAUGGGAGGCUUUUCUGGCAUCCAAAGAAAGAGCUGCAGUCCCAGAUUUGAUCUCUUUUAAAAAC